rnacentral:rRNA from 1 species
GACCAAGGAGUCUAACAUGUGCGCGAGUCGUAGGGUUACGCUCAAAGCCCGAAGGCGCAAUGAAAGUGAAGGUCGGCCUCGAUUGCCGUUACCUAGGCGGGAUCCGUUCGGGCUUACCGGUCGUUCGCGGCUGAGCCCGGCGGCGCACCGCCGGCCCGUCUCGACCGCAUCGCCGGUGAGGCGGAGCGAGAGCGUACACGUUGGGACCCGAAAGAUGGUGAACUAUGCCCGGGCAGGACGAAGCCAGAGGAAACUCUGGUGGAGGUCCAUAGCGAUUCUGACGUGCAAAUCGCUCGUUGGACCUGUGUAUAGGGGCAAAAGACUCAUCGAACCAUUUAGUAGCUGGUUCCCUCCGAAGUUUCUUUGAGGAUAGCUGGUGCUCAAGGAGGGCAGUCUCAUCUGGUAAAGCAAAUGAUUAGAGGCCUUGGGGCCGAAACGACCUCAACCUAGUCUCAAACUUUCAAUGGGUGAGAAGUCCGGCUUCCUUGACUGAAGCCCUGA